CUCCAGCACGGCAGAAAACCAGACAAGGAGGUGUUGGAACCCUGGAACUAGACUCAGGAAGGGGAGGAGAGCAGUUCAGGAGCUUCCGGGGAGGAGAUUCGAAUGGGCAUACAAGAGACCAUGCUUGCCCGGUAGGACUCUCAGUUUCCCUUUGGAGCCUAUGGGUACAAACGCCAAGGCUGGCUUUCCAGGGAUGUGUCCCGUGCGGGGGUACUGGAUGCUGCACCUGGAGGAGCCUUUGCUUCAUGGAAUGCUCUUGACAUUCUCAAUAAUUCUUUUUAACCAGGAGAGUUAAGUUUCUGUUUUCUACUGGCUCCGUGCAAGUCAUACAACUGGUCCUGUUCAUCUCAAGUAGGACAUAUGAGAAACCAGAUGCUCCAGAGCACAGCUUUCGUGUAGCAUUGGGACAGCAGGCAAAGGGUAAAGGAAGAAUUUUGAUCAAGGUCUCCAUCUUCUGCCCCACACUGCCACAACCCCGCAUCUGUUCAAGAGAAAUCCUCAGACAGACAUGACUACAGUCAAACCAUGGUGACACCAACGAGAGGGAAAAUGAAAGGAAGAAGCCAUUUUUCUUCUAAAAAUCUCACAAUUUCUCCCUCAACCUUCCUACCCUAAACUUUGUGUUUAAAUAUUAUUUCUAUUAAUGUGACACAAAUUUAAUGGUUUGUAGAGAUGUAACAUGUUAUAGAUAACAUGCCAAUAUAUGAUUCAUUAUGUUUCCAUUUGAUUUACACAAUUUUUUUUUAAACCAGGGAUUGAAUUCACAACCAUACGCUUGCAAGGCAGGUGCUUAUGCCACUGAGCUAAAUCCCCAGCCCCAAUUUACACAAUUAUUAAACUGUCACAUGAUUAACAAAC